AAAAAAAGAAAAAAACGGACGAGAAACAGAGGCUCACCCAAGGCCCUUCACCAAAAAAAAUAUAUAUGCUGCCUUCAACUUCUUUUUUGAUCUUUCUGGUCAUUUUUAAUAGUGUUGCUGAUGAAUCUUUUGCUAUUAAAUUAAACAAUAUCCUUGCCUCUUAUUUUCCCCCAAUUUCCUUCCCAAAAUCACCAUGAUUUUUUCCACCAACUCCGAACUAUAGAGCCUUCACCCACCAGCCACACACUCACGUAGAUAGGGAGGGGAAGUCACGCAUGAACAGGGAAAGGAGCUUUGGACAGAAUCAACACAAGAAAAUAUCUCUGUUUUUGGGAGUUAGUUCAUGAUUGAAUUCAAGGAAAAAAUGUUCUGUUUCUUCUGUUUAAAUUUUGGAUUUCGUUUUCAAAUUAUGGAGUUUGUUUGGGUCGUAUUUGAGUUCGAGUUCGUCGGCGAGAUUCCAGUUUCUACGACGAAGUUCGGUCAGUCUGGGUCGAGGUUCUGUUCCUGAUCUUAUUGCUUGUGAGCUUCAAAACAGUCAGUCUGAUCUUAUGCUAAUUGUGUGUUAUUUUGGUUGAAUUUCUUGUGAUUGAGUUAUAGUUAGUCUUUUCUUUAAUUGAAUGAAUUUCAUUGGCUGAAUACAUUUGGGAUAUAAAUUGAUGAAAUAAUAUAUGUGAUGAAUAAUGAUUAAUUUGAGAAUUAGACUUGAAUUUAAGAUGAAGUAAUUUGGAAUUGGGAUUAACUUUACAUUCUUCUUUUAUCAAAUGGGUCGUGGGCUUAGACACUUAACUCGAAAGAGAGAUUAGAACAUGAAUAUUUUGUUUGGUUUUAGUUUAUUGUGUUGAUCGGUAGGAGCAUGUUUAAGUCGUCAACACUCGGGUAGACAAACUUAAGACUUUUUCUUUUCUUUUAUUUGAGGUGAGUGGUCGUUCCCUUUAGUUUAUACUCAUGAAUAUGCCCCAUAGGCUUUGUAAAUAGUUUUAUCCGGGAAUGCCCCGUAGUGAAUGUAAAAGGAGGCCGAAGUAUCAUCAAUGGAGCAUUAGCUUAGCAUAAUAUAGAUCUUUUAGUACUUUUGUUAUUAUUUUUAUUUUAUUAGGUUGGGACGACCUCGAGCCUCUUGUGUGUUUAUUUUAUUUUAUUUUGUAUUUUUUGCCUCAGUUAGAAUAUCAUUUAAAGCCAACUAUAUUAUGUAUGCAACCAUACUAGUUACGGGACUCGGGGAAUGCUUAACACCUUCUCCCCGAGUCAAAUGAACCCCCUUAUCUAGAAUUUCUGGUGCAGUCAGUUUUUAGAGUCAACUGUGUUUUGAGAGAAUUUUUUUUAAAGAUGAUGUCCUAGCACACCGAAACCAAGUGUCUGGUGGCAACUCUAAGAAAAAUCCCUUUUAAACAAAUGUUUUGUCACUUUCUAACUGAAAACCCCUUUUGAGCUUCAAAAAUCACUUUAUCUUUUUUAAAUGGGUUAGUGAAGUUAAAAAAGGGGGUGUGACAGCUUUGACGACUUUACUGGUGACUUGUAGGUUCGAGCUGAUACUUUGAUCUUCUUGGCUUUUUAGAAUAUUCGGUUGAGGUUUUUAUGUUUUUUUUGCUUUAUUUGAUUUUUAUUUUGUUUACGUCGUUUUAUUAUUUGCUAGUUGUUUAUGUGUUUACAGUUUUUCUUUAUGUGUUACUGCUUUAUAACUGUCAUCAUAUGCAUUAACCAGUCAAUUCUUUCUGCAACAAGUCUCGUUGUAUGUGUCGCGUACACGAACUCUUCGUUGGGUCACCCUUAUUUUAUGAGUAUGGAGUGGGUGAAAAGCUUGAUCAGCCACCAUCGACCAUACGCUCCCCUGAAUUGCCUUGUUAGUAAAUCUCAAACGAAGGUCAGCCUUUAGGUCAUUUUUAUUUGCAUCAUAUCAUUAUGACUUAGCAGGACCCGGUCCUAGGUACCAUGUCCUUUGUAGGAAACCUGUCCAAAUUAUGUCAAAUGGGCUCGCCGCCCCAAAAGGAUAUUCAAUCAUCCUAUGUGGUAGAAAGGUCAUUUGCGGACUGGUGUUUGGGAUAAAAGGGUGAAAAAUGAAGUAAGAGAGAAUAUUUAGGGUUUUACCACUUUUAGUUUGUUGCCCCAUUUUCUAAAAGAAAAUCAAAAAAGAUUUUACAUUUUCCAUCAUUUUUCAGAAAAGACAAAAAAUAUGUUUUCUCCAAAUCAGUUGUUUUUUUAUUCUCUCCCAUAUCCAAUCUUUCUAAACUACACAUACCUGAUUCUUGUCUUUCGGGGCGGGAUACGUAGGCAGCCCAUAUAGGGUCCAGUCUUCCUAGUGAGUCUUAAGUUCUUGGCUUCAGGGGUCGUAGCCAAAUCUUGCAUGUCUAGCCACUUUUGGCUACAUCGGUCAUUUUGUAAAAUAGGCUAUUUUUACAAAGUGGUUUGUUGAACCGUGUCCGGAGAGUCUUGAAUCUACAAUCAGCUCUUUCCUAAUUUUAAGGUCCAUCCUUGUUGAUUUGCAUGUUUAGCCACUUCUGGCCAUCUUGGUCAUUUUGCAAAAUGGGGUCAUUUUCGCCAAAAUGGUUCAUUAACCCAUGUCUCAGAGUCUUGAGUCCAUAACUAGGUGUCCUAUUACUUUAAGGUCCAUCUUUGUAGAAUUUGCAUCUCUAGCCACGUUUGGCCAUAUCGGUCAUUUUUGCAAAAUUAGGUCAUUUUUGCGAAGUAAUUUCUAGGGUCAUAAUUAUUGGGAAUUUGAAGCCAUAUAAGCUUUAGUGAGGUAUUUUCAUGUCUUUGGGGUUACCUUUGUUGAGUUUGCACUAAUAGUCACUUUUGGCCACGUAGGCCAUUUUAAUAGCCAAAUUAUUUCUUCCCUGUGUCCAAUAGGAGGUGUUGUGGUCUCACAUAGUGUCUCGAGUCACUAAUCUAUUUAGUCUUAUUUUUCUCAUUCAGGUAUGAAUUCAUUUACCAGGGCUCGAGCAUGACAGAUACCCCAAGACCAUUCUAGUCAGGAUCGUUGCAUACAUGAGCUGCUUGAGGAUACUUUUAUGUUUUGAGUUUGUCAUUCAUGUUGUCUUUUACUUUCUAGUCUUGUACAGUAGUAUCGAGUCUUUUAGGUGGUAUCACAAUUUGUCGUAAUCUAGGUGAAUUUGUUGAAUCUUUUGUUAUCAUAAUUCCUUUGAUGUAUUUGAAAAAAAAAAGUUAUAAAUGAAAAAUAAAAUAAAAAAAUAUUUUUAGUUUAUUUUAUCCAUUACUUUUUCAAAACUAUGCUUGGU
rnacentral:lncRNA from 1 species